GAUGAACGCUGGCGGCGUGCCUAAUACAUGCAAGUCGAGCGAACAGAUGAGGAGCUUGCUCCUCUGACGUUAGCGGCGGACGGGUGAGUAACACGUGGAUAACCUACCUAUAAGACUGGGAUAACUUCGGGAAACCGGAGCUAAUACCGGAUAAUAUAUUGAACCGCAUGGUUCAAUAGUGAAAGACGGUUUUGCUGUCACUUAUAGAUGGAUCCGCGCCGCAUUAGCUAGUUGGUAAGGUAACGGCUUACCAAGGCAACGAUGCGUAGCCGACCUGAGAGGGUGAUCGGCCACACUGGAACUGAGACACGGUCCAGACUCCUGCGGGAGGAAGCAGUAGGGAAUCUUCCGCAAUGGGCGAAAGCUUGACGGAGCAAAGCCGCGUGAGUGAUGAAGGUCUUCGGAUCGUAAAACUCUGUUAUUAGGGAAGAACAAAUGUGUAAGUAACUAUGCACGUCUUGACGGUACCUAAUCAGAAAGCCACGGCUAACUACGUG
rnacentral:rRNA from 1 species